UCAUAUAACGCUAAAACAACCCUUCUCGUACGAUCACCGAAGUUAAGCAACGUCGAGCCUGGUCAGUACCUAGAUGGGUGACCGCUUCUGAAUACCAGGUGAUGUAAG